CGUGCGUGUUUCUCAGGCACGUCAUUUUAGAAUUCAUUUAAUAGCACGUUCCUUCAAGAAGGAUCGAUCCAUUAGAUAUCUCUUCGUGCAUCUUUGGAUAAUUUUAAAGAAAUUACACUCGAAAUGUUAAUGCAAUGUACAAAAGUUACUGAAGAAAAAAUGGAGGCUUAAUUAUGGCGGAUGAAAUUAAAUAACAUUAAUGUUGAUAAUACUAUAGUAAUGGCGACGAUAGACGAUAGACGAUAGACGACGUUCGAGAAUGACAACGUAUUACGUAAUUCUACGAUAUUUUUAUUCCCUUGAUCAGAGAACACCGGAGCGAGCAGGCGUACAAAGAAUUUGUUCGCUGCUCAGGAUCGUAUGCUGUUCGUAUCUAUUUACUUAUCUUGAUCUGUAAAACCUCGAACGAGGUUCCUUCGUUUCUUAAAGAUUCUUUCGAUAGGAAUCUCUUUAUAUUCUACAGAAUCAAUCACUUGAAAAGUAUCUUUUUUUUUUUUUUUAGGAAUAUCUUAUAAUUUGAGAAAUUAUUCUACAGGAUGUUUUAUUCAACAUUUAAAUGAAAUAAAUCAUUCAAUAUGCA